rnacentral:rRNA from 1 species
UACAGAGGUCUCAAGCGUUGUUCGGAUUCAUUGGGCGUAAAGGGCGCGCAGGCGGUCGUGUAAGUCCGCUGUGAAAGACCGGGGCUCAACCCCGGGGUGUCAGCGGGGACUGCUCGACUGGAGUCUCGGAGAGGGAUGCGGAAUACCUGGUGUAGCGGUGGAAUGCGUAGAGAUCAGGUGGAACACCGAUGGCGAAGGCAGCAUCCUGGACGAGUACUGACGCUGAGGCGCGAAAGCGUGGGGAGCGAACGGG